CACUGGUAUUACAUAUACUAAAGCACAAAUCAGGCAAGAAUACACAAAUAAGGCCAAAGGCCAAAUUAUAAGGAAACUUAGAUUCAAAUACAGACCGACCAAUAAAGGUCCAUGUCACUACACAGUAUAAUCCUAGCCCCUUUUUCAACACAGAAAGAAGCAUUUUGCGCCACCCAUCGAAAACCCAAGGAACCAGACAGUCGAAGAACAAUAAAGAGAAAGCUUCCGUAGAGUCAUGCACGACUAGAAAACCAAGCAGAGCCAAGACGAAAACCCGAAAAAAGCAAUAAACAACACAUCGCCUCCUGAGGGAAUAUCGACAUCUAGAAUUGUCAACUUUGGAGAGAAGGGAGGCAAAGGGCAUGGCAAUAUAGUAUUCUCUAGCCAUGAAGCAUCAACUAACUGAAUCUUCAAACGCCAGCUCUUAACCUCAAAGAUGCCUCCCUUUGGAUUUGCUCCCAAAGCCAACACAUAUACCAAACACUCCAACCUAUAAACCCAUAGAAAUAGAUCACCAAGACAACCCUCUCAUUCAAGCUCUAGAUUUGCAAACCAAGAAACAAAAACCAAAAUCUUAUCUACAGCCAUCCUAGAGGGUGGGGAGGGAAGCAAGCCCACACUUUAGGUGGGAGAAAG
rnacentral:misc_RNA from 1 species